UACGAAGGGUGCAAACGUUUGUUCGGAAUUACUGGGCGUAAAGGGCGCGUAGGCGGCCUUCUAAGUCAGACGUGAAAUCCCCCGGCUUAACCUGGGAACUGCGUCUGAUACUGGGAGGCUUGAGUAUGGGAGAGGGAUGUAGAAUUCCAGGUGUAGCGGUGAAAUGCGUAGAUAUCUGGAGGAAUACCGGUGGCGAAGGCGGCAUCCUGGACCAUAACUGACGCUGAGGCGCGAAAGCUAGGGGAGCAAACGGGG
rnacentral:rRNA from 1 species